UACGUAGGGGGCGAGCGUUGUCCGGAUUUAUUGGGCGUAAAGAGCGUGUAGGCGGCCAGGUAGGUCGGUUGUGAAAACUGGAGGCUUAACCUUCAGACGUCGACCGAAACCAUCUGGCUAGAGUCCGGAAGAGGAGAGUGGAAUUCCUGGUGUAGCGGUGGAAUGCGCAGAUAUCAGGAAGAACACCGGUGGCGAAGGCGGCUCUCUGGGCCGUACCUGACGCUGAGGAGCGAAAGCGUGGGUAGCGAACAGG
rnacentral:rRNA from 1 species